rnacentral:rRNA from 1 species
AGCGUAUAUUAAAGUUGUUGCAGUUAAAAAGCUCGUAGUUGAACUUCGGGGUUCACCCAUUGGUCAGGCUUAAUUGUCUGUACUGGUGAGAUGAGUCUCUACCUUCUGAGGAACUUUCAUGCCAUUUGUUUGGUGUGAUGGGAAAUCAGGACUGUUACUUUGAAAAAAUUAGAGUGUUUAAAGCAGGCUAACGUCUGAAUACAUUAGCAUGGAAUAAUGAAAUAGGACGGAUUGAUUCUAUUUCGUUGGUUUCUAGGGUCACCGUAAUGAUUAAUAGGGAUAGUUGGGGGCAUUAGUAUUCAAUUGUCAGAGGUGAAAUUCUUGGAUUUAUUGAAGACUAACUACUGCGAAAGCAUUUGCCAAGGAUGUUUUCAUUAAUCAAGAACGAAAGUUAGGGGAUCGAAGACGAUCAGAUACCGUCGUAGUCUUAACCAUAAAC